GCGAUUUGGGAUACGGCUGCGGCGAAAAGGAAGUCCGCCAUCGCUCGGGCUAACAAGAUGAGUGAGCCGUCAGGGCCCGGGACUGGACCGGUGCGCCACACGGCAGGAUCGCGCUCAGCUGUGAAGCAUAUGACCGUUUUGAGUUAGGAGCUCGGUCGUCCUGCGAUAUAUGCUGAGUUGCAUGUUCGUAUGCACUCGACAAAGGACGAUCGGAACAAGUUUGUCGACAAGAGGUCGCAGGAUAAGCAUGAGCGUUUCCUUGCAGAGCGUGCAGCUGCGACCCAGUCCUC